GCAGAGUGCUUUUACUGUAAGAAGUAGGGUCUUUGGAAGAAGAAUUAUCCUCAAUACAUUGCUUCUCUUGACCCAAGUAGGCUGAAUAAAAAAGAAAAGUAAGCGGUUGUUGGGCAAGAUAAUUAUAUGAUAAUAUCUUGCAACUUCUCUAUUUGUGAUACUAUGACUGGAUAUUAGAUACUGAUAGUCCUAUUAAUAUUUGUAAUUUAUUAUAGAGACUUUAGGUCAGUAGGAGAUUUGGAGACGGUGAGAGAUUCUUGA
rnacentral:lncRNA from 1 species